UACGAAGGGUGCAAGCGUUAAUCGGAAUUACUGGGCGUAAAGCGUGCGCAGGCGGUUAUGCAAGACAGAUGUGAAAUCCCCGGGCUCAACCUGGGAACUGCAUUUGUGACUGCAUGGCUUGAGUGCGGCAGAGGGAGAUGGAAUUCCGCGUGUAGCAGUGAAAUGCGUAGAUAUGCGGAGGAACACCGAUGGCGAAGGCAAUCUCCUGGGCCUGCACUGACGCUCAUGCACGAAAGCGUGGGGAGCAAACAGG
rnacentral:rRNA from 1 species